UAGAGUUUGAUCAUGGCUCAGAUUGAACGCUGGCGGCAGGCCUAACACAUGCAAGUCGAACGGUAACAGGAAGCAGCUUGCUGCUUUGCUGACGAGUGGCGGACGGGUGAGUAAUGUCUGGGAAACUGCCCGGUGGAGGGGGAUAACUACUGGAAACGGUAGCUAAUACCGCAUAACGUCGCAAGACCAAAGAGGGGGACCUUCGGGCCUCUUGCCACCGGAUGUGCCCAGAUGGGAUUAGCUUGUUGGUGAGGUAACGGCUCACCAAGGCGACGAUCCCUAGCUGGUCUGAGAGGAUGACCAGCCACACUGGAACUGAGACACGGUCCAGACUCCUACGGGAGGCAGCAGUGGGGAAUAUUGCACAAUGGGCGCAAGCCUGAUGCAGCCAUGCCGCGUGUAUGAAGAAGGCCUUCGGGUUGUAAAGUACUUUUCAGCGGGGAGGAAGGGAUUGUGGUUAAUAACCGCAGUCAUUGACGUUACCCGCAGAAGAAGCACCGGCUAACUCCGUGCCAGCAGCCGCGGUAAUACGGAGGGUGCAAGCGUUAAUCGGAAUUACUGGGCGUAAAGCGCACGCAGGCGGUCUGUCAAGUCGGAUGUGAAAUCCCCGGGCUCAACCUGGGAACUGCAUUCGAAACUGGCAGGCUUGAGUCUCGUAGAGGGGGGUGGAAUUCCAGGUGUAGCGGUGAAAUGCGUAGAGAUCUGGAGGAAUACCGGUGGCGAAGGCGGCCCCCUGGACGAAGACUGACGCUCAGGUGCGAAAGCGUGGGGAGCAAACAGGAUUAGAUACCCUGGUAGUCCACGCCGUAAACGAUGUCUACUUGGAGGUUGUGCCCCUGAGGCGUGGCUUCCGGAGCUAACGCGUUAAGUAGACCGCCUGGGGAGUACGGCCGCAAGGUUAAAACUCAAAUGAAUUGACGGGGGCCCGCACAAGCGGUGGAGCAUGUGGUUUAAUUCGAUGCAACGCGAAGAACCUUACCUGGUCUUGACAUCCACGGAAGACUGCAGAGAUGCGGUUGUGCCUUCGGGAACCGUGAGACAGGUGCUGCAUGGCUGUCGUCAGCUCGUGUUGUGAAAUGUUGGGUUAAGUCCCGCAACGAGCGCAACCCUUAUCCUUUGUUGCCAGCGGUCCGGCCGGGAACUCAAAGGAGACUGCCAGUGAUAAACUGGAGGAAGGUGGGGAUGACGUCAAGUCAUCAUGGCCCUUACGACCAGGGCUACACACGUGCUACAAUGGCAUAUACAAAGAGAAGCGACCUCGCGAGAGCAAGCGGACCUCAUAAAGUAUGUCGUAGUCCGGAUUGGAGUCUGCAACUCGACUCCAUGAAGUCGGAAUCGCUAGUAAUCGUGGAUCAGAAUGCCACGGUGAAUACGUUCCCGGGCCUUGUACACACCGCCCGUCACACCAUGGGAGUGGGUUGCAAAAGAAGUAGGUAGCUUAACCUCCGGGAGGGCGCUUACCACUUUGUGAUUCAUGACUGGGGUGAAGUCGUAACAAGGUAACCGUA
rnacentral:rRNA from 1 species